rnacentral:rRNA from 1 species
CACGUAGGCGGAUAUUUAAGUCAGGGGUGAAAUCCCAGAGCUCAACUCUGGAACUGCCUUUGAUACUGGGUAUCUAGAGUAUGGAAGAGGUGAGUGGAAUUCCGAGUGUAGAGGUGAAAUUCGUAGAUAUUCGGAGGAACACCAGUGGCGAAGGCGGCUCACUGGUCCAUUACUGACGCUGAGGUGCGAAAGCGUGGGGAGCAAACA